UUCUUAACACUUCAUUUAAUUCCUACAAUUGUAUUAUUUUGAUUUGGUUACAUUAUUAUAUUAUACACUCGGCAAUAGGUACUCUUAAAGUUAUCCUUAUGUUUCAUGUAAAUUAAAUCAAGCUAAUUUUAUCACGAAUAGCAUUCAUACGAAAUAUUUUUUUUAGUUAAUUGCUGUUUUGAUUUAUUUAUUUUUAAUUUAUUGACAUUUUUUUACCUAUUACGGAGUGCGCAUUGUUUAGAGCUACGAGAGAACUAGCGAUACAUAAGAAGUAACCAUUUAACUAUGGCCACAAAAAUUCUAUAGAUCUUACUUUUUGAAAAAGAGUAUCCCGUACCUCAUCACAGAUUGCGGCAAUAACACCUAAAAAUUUGUAAAAAAAAAGUAAAUGCAUUAAAAGUUUGAGGAUUUUGUUUGGUUCUACUACAUAUACACCGAAAGAAGCGUACACAAUACACAUACCAACAGAGGCAAUUUCAAGUAACCACUCCCAUGAACAAAAUGCCAUGGCUAUCGGCAAUUUAAACUAAACGUUACUUUCGUUGCUAACUCAUCCGGAUCUUUAUACAAUCUUUUCGUCUAACCUAAAUCCUACUAAUAUGUAUUUAGAACUGGAAAUUUCGAAACAAAUAAUAGAUUUAAAGACGAUCUCAAAU